GGGGCUGUGGUGCAGUGGUAGCACACUUGCCUGGCAUGUUUGAGGCACUGGGUUUGAUUCUCAGCACUUCA
rfam:Ictidomys tridecemlineatus contig009539, whole genome shotgun sequence.